GACGAACGCUGGCGGAGUGCCUAAUACAUGCAAGUCGAACGCAGUGGGGACGGGUGAGUAACACGUGUGUAACCUCCCAUCAGAGGGGAUAACACUUGGAAACAGGUGCUAAACCGAUCCUGCUGGAUGGCCCCGCGGUGCAUUAGCUAGUUGGUUAGGUAACGGCUCACCAAGGCCACGAUGCAUAGCCGACCGUAGAGGGUGAUCGUCUACACGGGGACGGAGACAAGGCCCAGACGCCUACGGGAGGAAGCAGUAUGGAAUCCGCGGCAACGGACGAAAGUCUGACCGAGCAACGCCGAGGGAGUUAAGAAGGUUUGCGGAUCGUAAAACUCUGUUGUUAGAGAAGCGUUAUCUAUCCAGAAAGUCACGGCUAACUACGGGCCAGCCGCCGCGGUAAUAC
rnacentral:rRNA from 1 species